UAAAGAUUCAUCGCUGAUAGAUAGGCAUGCGUUCCAUUAGGCAGUUGGCGGGGUAACGGCCCACCAAACCGACGAUGGAUAGGGGUUCUGAGAGGAAGGUCCCCCACAUUGGUACUGAGACACGGACCAAACUCCUACGGGAGGCAGCAGUGAGGAAUAUUGGUCAAUGGGCGUAAGCCUGAACCAGCCAAGUCGCGUGAGGGAUGAAGGUUCUAUGGAUCGUAAACCUCUUUUAUAAGGGAAUAAAGUGCGGGACGUGUCCCGUUUUGUAUGUACCUUAUGAAUAAGGAUCGGCUAACUCCGUGCCAGCAGCCGCGGUAAUACGGAGGAUCCGAGCGUUAUCCGGAUUUAUUGGGUUUAAAGGGUGCGUAGGCGGCCUUUUAAGUCAGCGGUGAAAGUCUGUGGCUCAACCAUAGAAUUGCCGUUGAAACUGGGAGGCUUGAGUAUGUUUGAGGCAGGCGGAAUGCGUGGUGUAGCGGUGAAAUGCUUAGAUAUCACGCAGAACCCCGAUUGCGAAGGCAGCCUGCCAAGCCAUGACUGACGCUGAUGCACGAAAGCGUGGGGAUCAAACAGGAUUAGAUACCCUGGUAGUCCACGCAGUAAACGAUGAUCACUAGCUGUUUGCGAUACAGU
rnacentral:rRNA from 1 species